rnacentral:rRNA from 1 species
UACGUAGGGUGCGAGCGUUAUCCGGAAUGAUUGGGCGUAAAGCGUCCGCAGGUGGCUAUGUAAGUCUGCUGUUAAAGAGUGAGGCUCAACCUCAUAAGAGCAGUGGAAACUACAUGGCUAGAGUGCGUUCGGGGCAGAGGGAAUUCCUGGUGUAGCGGUGAAAUGCGUAGAGAUCAGGAAGAACACCGGUGGCGAAAGCGCUCUGCUAGGCCGCAACUGACACUCAUGGACGAAAGCUAGGGGAGCGAAUGGG